rnacentral:rRNA from 1 species
UUAUUUGAGAGUUUGAUCCUGGCUCAGGAUGAACGCUGGCGGCGUGCCUAACACAUGCAAGUUGAGCGAUUUACUUCGGUAAAGAGCGGCGGACGGGUGAGUAACGCGUGGGUAACCUACCCUGUACACACGGAUAACAUACCGAAAGGUAUGCUAAUACGGGAUAAUAUAUUUGAGAGGCAUCUCUUAAAUAUCAAAGGUGAGCCAGUACAGGAUGGACCCGCGUCUGAUUAGCUAGUUGGUAAGGUAACGGCUUACCAAGGCGACGAUCAGUAGCCGACCUGAGAGGGUGAUCGGCCACAUUGGAACUGAGACA